CACUGUUAAGAACCAGUAAAAUACUAAAAUUGGAAUGACACAGAGAUGAUUAGCAUGGCCCCUGCACAAAGAUGAAUGCAAAUUCGUGAAGAGUUCCAUAUUUUU